UUAACACAUGCAAGUCGAGCGGUAAGGCCUCUUCGGGGGUACACGAGCGGCGAACGGGUGAGUAACACGUGAGUAAUCUGCCCUUCACUUCGGGAUAAGCUUCGGAAACGGGGUCUAAUACCGGAUANGACACUUUCAGGCAUCUGAUGAGUGUGGAAAGUUUUUUCGGUGGGGGAUGUGCUCGCGGCCUAUCAGCUUGUUGGUGGGGUAAUGGCCUACCAAGGCUUCGACGGGUAGCCGGCCUGAGAGGGUGACCGGCCACACUGGGACUGAGACACGGCCCAGACUCCUACGGGAGGCAGCAGUGGGGAAUAUUGGACAAUGGGCGGAAGCCUGAUCCAGCAACGCCGCGUGAGGGAUGACGGCCUUCGGGUUGUAAACCUCUUUCAGUACCGACGAAGCGAGAGUGACGGUAGGUACAGAAGAAGCACCGGCCAACUACGUGCCAGCAGCCGCGGUAAUACGUAGGGUGCGAGCGUUGUCCGGAAUUAUUGGGCGUAAAGGGCUCGUAGGCGGUUUGUCGCGUCGGGAGUGAAAACACCGGGCUUAACUCGGUGCUUGCUUUCGAUACGGGCAGACUAGAGGUAUGCAGGGGAGAACGGAAUUCCUGGUGUAGCGGUGAAAUGCGCAGAUAUCAGGAGGAACACCGGUGGCGAAGGCGGUUCUCUGGGCAUUACCUGACGCUGAGGAGCGAAAGUGUGGGGAGCGAACAGGAUUAGAUACCCUGGUAGUCCACACCGUAAACGUUGGGCGCUAGGUGUGGGAUCCAUUCCACGGGUUCCGUGCCGCAGCUAACGCAUUAAGCGC
rnacentral:rRNA from 1 species